rnacentral:rRNA from 1 species
UACGUAGGGUGCAGGCGUUGUCCGGAAUUAUUGGGCGUAAAGAGCUCGUAGGCGGUUUGUCGCGUCUGCUGUGAAAACUCGGGGCUCAACCUCGGGCCUGCAGUCGAUACGGGCAAACUAGAGUACUGCAGGGGAGACUGGAAUUCCUGGUGUAGCGGUGAAAUGCGCAGAUAUCAGGAGGAACACCGGUGGCGAAGGCGGGUCUCUGGGCAGUAACUGACGCUGAGGAGCGAAAGCGUGGGGAGCGAACAGG